rnacentral:tRNA from 1 species
AGGACUGUAAUUUAUAAAAAAUAUCUAAUUUGCAUUUAAAAAAAACUCUCAGGAGCCUGUCUUA